rnacentral:tRNA from 1 species
GAGGGAGAAACCUAAAGGUUAGGUAUUAGUCUGUCGCACUAAAUAUUGCGGGUUCGAAUCCCGUCUCUCUCG